rnacentral:rRNA from 1 species
AGAACGAACGCUGGCGGCAUGCCUAAUACAUGCAAGUCGAACGAACUCUUCGGAGUUAGUGGCGCACGGGUGCGUAACGCGUGGGAAUCUGCCCCUUGGUUCGGAAUAACAGUUGGAAACGACUGCUAAUACCGGAUGAUGACGAAAGUCCAAAGAUUUAUCGCCAAGGGAUGAGCCCGCGUAGGAUUAGCUAGUUGGUGAGGUAAAGGCUCACCAAGGCAACGAUCCUUAGCUGGUCUGAGAGGAUGAUCAGCCACACUGGGACUGAGACACGGCCCAGACUCCUACGGGAGGCAGCAGUAGGGAAUAUUGGACAAUGGGCGAAAGCCUGAUCCAGCAAUGCCGCGUGAGUGAUGAAGGCCUUAGGUUGUAAAGCUCUUUACCGAGAUGAUAAUGACAGUAUCGGAGAAUAAGCCCCGGCUAACUCCGUGCCAGCAGCCGC